rnacentral:rRNA from 1 species
AUUGAACGCUGGCGGCAUGCUUUACACAUGCAAGUCGAACGGUAACAGGCAGCCAGGUGCUGACGAGUGGCGAACGGGUGCGUAAUGCAUCGGCACGUCCCCAGUCGUGAGGGAUAACGCAUCGAAAGCUGUGCUAAUACCGCAUACGAUCUAUUGCUGAAAGCGGGGGACCGUAAGGCCUCGCGCGAUUGGAGCGGCCGAUGUCAGGUUAGGUAGUUGGUGGGGUAAAGGCUCACCAAGCCAAGGAUCUGUAGCUGGUCUGAGAGGACGAACAGCCACACUGGGACUGAGACACGGCCCAGACUCCUACGGGAGGCAGCAGUGGGGAAUUUUGGACAAUGGGCGAAAGCCUGAUCCAGCAAUGCCGCGUGCAGGAAGAAGGCCUUCGGGUUGUAAACUGCUUUUGUACGGAACGAAAAGGUUUGGGUUAAUACCCUGGGCCGAUGACGGUACCGUAAGAAUAAGCACCGGCUAACUACGUGCCAGCAGCCGCCGUAA